rnacentral:lncRNA from 1 species
GUGAUGCCAAAGGAAUGCACAAGUUCAUAUCAGAGAGAGUUAUCACAUUUACUACAGUUGUAAUUUGCACAAAACAACAGAAUCAGCAUGUUUGGUGUGGAUGGUAUUAGCACAUUUAGCAAGAUUUAAUGGAAUAGGAUUGAACAGAAAAAUGCCUCCUCUUGGUCUUUCAUAGAGUGUUAUUCAGGGAGACAGGAGCUAUAAGGAUUUGUAAGUAGGUUUGAAGAUUUCUUAAAAAGAUGAAAUAAGUUUAUAUAUAUAUAUAUAUAUAUAUAUAUACACACACACACACACACUUGAGUCAUAGAAUCAUUAAGGGAAUAAAAAAAAUGGAUGUGUUUUAUGAUUAUUCGUCAUAAUAUUUUAAAAAUUUACCAUAAAAUUCUGAUUACAAAAAUUUAAAAAUCCAUGAUUUUAUUGUUUCAUCUUUGAAACUGUUAUGUUUAAAAACAUUAGUAAUUUAAAUAUUUCAUGGCAUGAUUAUUGAUUAAUUAUUUAUUUUUAUUCUAUCAUUAUAUAUCUAUAUAUAUACACACACAAAAAAUAUAUACCUUCGUUAUUUGAUACCUCUAAACUAAUAUUUCUUGCUUACCUCACAAUAUUUGCUAAUAAUAUUUGUUUGAAGAGACAUUUUUUGCAGAUUGUAAACUUCUAUCUCUUAACUAAUAAAUCUUGCAAAAUUUAUAAAAUUUCCAUGCACGAAGCUUAUAAAAUAAUUGAGGUACUUGUGUAUGAAUAUAUUAAAAAAUAAUUAUGAUAACUGGUUGUGGUUUAAAAUUUGAUUUGAAUGACAUUUACAGUUAUUGGUAUAUUUAUAUAUGGAUAUUAAUGUUUUAUUCAUUUAUAAAAAAAUAGAAAAAAAAAUCAAGACUUAUUGAUCAUCAUGCAAUUUUCUAUCAAACUUUUAUUUGUAUAUAAUUUACUAAAUUAGAAUAUAGUGUAUCAAAAAGACAUAAAAAUAUUGAUAAUUCAGAAAAUUAAUUUUCAUUGUUUAUUUAUUUAUUUAUUUUCCUUUAAGUUUUGUGGUGAAUAAAGGUUAAACACAUGCAUGGCUAAUUUAUAUUAUUUGAUCUUAUUCAAGUUUUUAGAAUAGAUCCAUUGAAAAUAUCUAUUAAUAAUGUGUAAAAUUAUUUGUCAAUUGUCAUUGAAUUAAUUGCAUCAUCAAUAUGUUGUUGUAUGUUUUAACAUAGAACAACAAAAUGAAUGGAUUCAUUGCAACUUUUCACAUUCCCAUUGCUUUGCAUUGAAUUUAUCAAUUCUCUUUUUUCUUUUUCUAAUUUGUAUAAAAGAACCAAAUACAUUAUAGUAUAAAAAUGUAACUAUGUAUCCAUUAAAUAAUCACUUCUUAUAGAAUUGCAAUUCAAGCAACUUUUCUUUCUCCAUUUGUCAUAGGAUUUGAACCUAAUUGGAUGAUCAUGGUUUUUUUUUUUCAAUCUUUUUUUAAUUAUUUAUCAUUGAUUUCAUAUACAUGCACACCUCUAUAAUAAAGAAAUAGCACACGUUUCCUUCUAAAUAUGCAACGUCCUUGAGCUGAGUUCACAAUUGGCUAUAUGGAUGACAUCCAAAGCGGACUUAUGAAAUUCAUCCACAAAGAUGGAUGAAAUCAGAGACAUGAGCAGCAAUGUUAACACAGGAGGAUCAUUGUGAAGCCCUUAUGUAGUAGUAUCUGGAAUGGAAUGUUCAGGGCAAGUUCACAUUACUUUGUCGUUGGUGUUGCAACAUUAAAUAAAUAAAUUGUUAAAUAAAUAAAUUGUUAAAUAAAUAAAUGAAAACAUGUAUGUAUAACCUUCCAAAUACAAAUAAUACAUGAUGGAUGAUAUGUAACAAAAUAUGAUACGCAUUGUAUCCAAGAAUAUUGGCUAUGCUAUCAUGUAAUGGCUUAUUUACUAACUGUGAAUUCAAUAAUUGUGUUUUUCCUUUGUGCUCGUUAUGAGCAAUCACAUAAAUCAGAGCUGCAUGUUAAAUAUAUCAUCAGUUAUCAAGUAAAAUAUAGCUUGAAUUAGAAGAAUAUAUUUUAUUACUAUUAUACAAUGUUUGCAAAGCUUAGAAUCCUGAUAUAACCGUUGUUUGUUUUUAUCCCUCACACGAAUAGGAAAGUAGAUUAAGUGGAAAAUAUUCAAAAUCUACAUCUUACUAUAUUCCAAUCGAUGGCACAAGCUGUGUUGCCAACAAGUAACGGCUAAUUUAAAGAAGAAUAUCCCAUCCCAAAACUUUCAUAAUGUUCUUGCUAUGGUGCUUCAAGUGUACAGAAUUUUUUUUUAAAAAAUAAGAGUUAUGAAUAUUCGAGGUUGCUAUAAGCUUAGGAGCUGAGCUGGCAUUCAACUAAUUCCUCCAACAAGUAGGUGGGGUUCAGUAACAACGAGUAUCAUGUUUAUUUACCCUAAUAAAUUAGUCUAUGCGAUUAUCUUUCAUGUUUUUAUACCCUUAGUAAAACAGUAGACCCGGCACGAAAGGUAAAAAAUUAGGAAGUACAGUAUCUCCACUUCAAUGUCCCAAAUACUAGGGACAAGUUUCACCAGACCUUCAAGCCGAACCGGAUUGUACUCAAAAGGACCAUGAUAGCAAGAACCUGGCAAGACUAUUUAUAUACAUAUAUUGUAUAAUAUAAUAGCACGGGACAGCAAGAGGUCUGGGGUCGGGGCAGCAC